CUCAUUAGCACACUUAAGUUGUAUUUCUUCUGUUUGAACUGUGCCUGGGGCAAUGUGUCAGGGUGGGUAUACCCCCUCCCCAGAACUGUUCAAGGAUCCCUGGGCCACAUAACAUUCCUUCUUGGACUGAUGGUGACUGCCUCACUCUCUCUGUCUGGGUGACCCCAAGGCAGCCAUGCUCCCUGUACCACUUCAGUGGAGCUACUAUGGCCAACGAAUCAGCCUUUAC